AUGCGCACUAUAUUGCCCAGAAGCAUUCAAAGGCCGGUGCGAUUGGUUAAAGCUCCUCAGUAUGGCCAGGCGAUGUUGAGCACUCAGCCAGGAAGGGUUGUGCAGGCUGUAUGCUCCAGACCUCCAGUGCGUCUCCAGGGUCCAGUUUACCCUGUUCCUGCUCCUCGCACUAGCCCUGAGGUGCGUGUUACUAGGCUGGCACCUCCAAAGCCAACCCCACGCAUCAGGCCUCUAGUGCACCUGCCCAGUCCAGUACGUCCUGUUCCUGCUCCUCGCACUAGCCUUGAGGUGCGUGUCACCAGUCUGGCGCCUCCAAAGCAAGCCCCAUGCACCAGGCCUUUAGUGCGCUUGCCCAGUCCAGUACGUCCUGUUCCUGCUCCUCGCACUAGCCCUGUGGUGCGCGUCCCUAGUCUGGCGCCUCCAAAGCCAGCCCCACGCACCAGGCCUUUAGUGCGCCUGCCCAGUCCAGUACGUCCUGUUCCUGCUCCUCGCAUUACCCCUGUGGUGCGCGUCCCUAGUCUGGCGCCUCCAAAGCCAGCCCCACGCACCAGGCCUUUAGUGCGCCUGCCCAGUCCAGUACGUCCUGUUCCUGCUCCUCUCACUAGCCUUGUGGUGCGCGUCCCUAGUCUGGCGCCUCCAAAGCCAGCCCCACGCACUAGGCCUUUAGUGCGCAGUCCCCGUCUAGAGCUUCCGGCGACAGUGCCCCGUCUAGAGCUUCCGGCGACAGUGCCCCGUCUAGAGCUUCCGGCGACAGUGCCCCGUCCAGUGCUUCCCGCGACGUCCUACAGUCCGGAACCGACAGAGACGGCCCACAGUCCGGAACCGACAGAGACGGCCGCCAGUCCGGCGCAGCCAGAGUCGCCCGCCAGUCCGGCGCAGCCAGAGUCGCCCGCCAGUCCGGCGCAGCCAGAGUCGCCCGCCAGUCCGGCGCAGCCAGAGUCGCCCGCCAGUCCGGAGCUUCCAGAGUCGCUCCUCAGCCCAGAGCCUUCAGCGGACAGGUUAGGUUGGGAACUAGGGCCAGAACCAGAGCCACCUCCGUAG
rnacentral:lncRNA from 8 species